GCUAAAUGACUAAAAUGUUUUUAAAAAUGGAGUUGGGAGGUUAAAGGUGAGACACCUGUUUAGUCUGGAGUUGGGAGGUGAAAGGUGAGACAUCUGUUUAGUUGGGAGGUGAAAGGUGAGACAUCUGUUUAGACUGGAGUUGGGAGGUGAAAGGUGAGACACCUGUUUAGACUGGAGUUGGGAGGUGAAAGGUGAGACAUCUGUUUAGACUGGAGUUGGGAGGUGAAAGGUGAGACAUCUGUUUAGACUGGAGUUGGGAGGUGAAAGGUGAGACACCUGUUUAGUUGGGAGGUGAAAGGUGAGACACCUGUUUAGACUGGAGUUGGGAGGUGAAAGGUGAGACACCUGUUUAGACUGGAGUUGGGAGGUGAAAGGUGAGACAUCUGUUUAGACUGGAGUUGGGAGGUGAAAGGUGAGACACCUGUUUAGUCUGGAGUUGGGAGGUGAAAGGUGAGACAUCUGUUUAGACUGGAGUUGGGAGGUGAAAGGUGAGACACCUGUUUAGUUGGGAGGUGAAAGGUGAGACAUCUGUUUAGUUGGGAGGUGAAAGGUGAGACAUCUGUUUAGUUGGGAGGUGAAAGGUGAGACAUCUGUUUAGACUGGAGUUGGGAGGUGAAAGGUGAGACAUCUGUUUAGACUGGAGUUGGGAGGUGAAAGGUGAGACAUCUGUUUAGUUGGGAGGUGAAAGGUGAGACAUCUGUUUAGACUGGAGUUGGGAGGUGAAAGGUGAGACAUCUGUUUAGACUGGAGUUGGGAGGUGAAAGGUGAGACAUCUGUUUAGACUGGAGUUGGGAGGUGAAAGGUGAGACAUCUGUUUAGACUGGAGUUGGGAGGUGAAAGGUGAGACACCUGUUUAGUUGGGAGGUGAAAGGUGAGACACCUGUUUAGACUGGAGUUGGGAGGUGAAAGGUGAGACACCUGUUUAGACUGGAGUUGGGAGGUGAAAGGUGAGACAUCUGUUUAGUUGGGAGGUGAAAGGUGAGACAUCUGUUUAGACUGGAGUUGGGAGGUGAAAGGUGAGACACCUGUUUAGUCUGGAGUUGGGAGGUGAAAGGUGAGACAUCUGUUUAGACUGGAGUUGGGAGGUGAAAGGUGAGACACCUGUUUAGACUGGAGUUGGGAGGUGAAAGGUGAGACAUCUGUUUAGUUGGGAGGUGAAAGGUGAGACAUCUGUUUAGUUGGGAGGUGAAAGGUGAGACAUCUGUUUAGACUGGAGUUGGGAGGUGAAAGGUGAGACAUCUGUUUAGACUGGAGUUGGGAGGUGAAAGGUGAGACAUCUGUUUAGUUGGGAGGUGAAAGGUGAGACAUCUGUUUAGUUGGGAGGUGAAAGGUGAGACAUCUGUUUAGACUGGAGUUGGGAGGUGAAAGGUGAGACAUCUGUUUAGACUGGAGUUGGGAGGUGAAAGGUGAGACAUCUGUUUAAACUGGAGUUGGGAGGUGAAAGGUGAGACAUCUGUUUAGACUGGAGUUGGGAGGUGAAAGGUGAGACAUCUGUUUAGUUGGGAGGUGAAAGGUGAGACAUCUGUUUAGUUGGGAGGUGAAAGGUGAGACAUCUGUUUAGACUGGAGUUGGGAGGUGAAAGGUGAGACAUCUGUUUAGACUGGAGUUGGGAGGUGAAAGGUGAGACAUCUGUUUAGACUGGAGUUGGGAGGUGAAAGGUGAGACAUCUGUUUAGACUGGAGUUGGGAGGUGAAAGGUGAGACAUCUGUUUAGUUGGGAGGUGAAAGGUGAGACAUCUGUUUAGACUGGAGUUGGGAGGUGAAAGGUGAGACACCUGUUUAGUCUGGAGUUGGGAGGUGAAAGGUGAGACAUCUGUUUAGACUGGAGUUGGGAGGUGAAAGGUGAGACAUCUGUUUAGACUGGAGUUGGGAGGUGAAAGGUGAGACACCUGUUUAGUUGGGAGGUGAAAGGUGAGACAUCUGUUUAGACUGGAGUUGGGAGGUGAAAGGUGAGACAUCUGUUUAGACUGGAGUUGGGAGGUGAAAGGUGAGACAUCUGUUUAGUUGGGAGGUGAAAGGUGAGACAUCAGUGUCGACCUCCUGUGUGUUGUGUUUUAUGACUCCUUGCUUGUUACAUAGCUAGUUUUCUGUUCAACAGAUUGCUUUUGUUUAGAUCUGAACUCUGCCACAUGUUUUAAGGUUAUAGACCCAAGGAGCAUUGAACAGUGAAGCCUUACGUUAUCUGCUGUUGCCCUACACCUUUACAUUCCUCAGAGUCCUGACAGUAACUC